rnacentral:rRNA from 1 species
GUCUUAUAAACUAUAUACAACUUUCAGCAACGGAUCUCUUGGCUCUCGCAUCGAUGAAGAACGCAGCGAAAUGCGAUAAGUAAUGUGAAUUGCAGAAUUCAGUGAAUCAUCGAAUCUUUGAACGCACCUUGCGCUCCUUGGUAUUCCGAGGAGCAUGCCUGUUUGAGUGUCAUUAAAUUCUCAA